rnacentral:rRNA from 1 species
UAUUGGACAAUGGGCGAAAGCCUGAUCCAGCAAUGCCGCGUGAGUGAAGAAGGCCUUCGGGUUGUAAAGCUCUUUUGUCAGGGAAGAAACACCGGCUCUAACACAGUCCGGGAAUGACGGUACCUGAAGAAUAAGCACCGGCUAACUACGUGCCAGCAGCCGCGGUAAUACGUAGGGUGCAAGCGUUAAUCGGAAUUACUGGGCGUAAAGCGUGCGCAGGCGGUUAUACAAGACAGGCGUGAAAUCCCCGGGCUUAACCUGGGAAUGGCGCCUGUGACUGUAUAGCUAGAGUGUGUCAGAGGGGGGUAGAAUUCCACGUGUAGCAGUGAAAUGCGUAGAUAUGGGAGGAAUACCAAUGGCGAAGGCAGCCCCCUGGAUAACACUGACACUCAUGCACGAA